rfam:Picea glauca, whole genome shotgun sequence.
CCAACUUUAGCUCAGUUGGUAGAGCGGAGGAUUGUAGUGGGAGAGAAAAUCCCAGUUGUCAUCCUUAGGUCGUUGGUUCAAAUCCGGCAAGUCGGA